rnacentral:rRNA from 1 species
AACGAACGCUGGCGGCAGGCUUAACACAUGCAAGUCGAGGGGUAUAGUAGCAAUACUAGAGACCGGCGCACGGGCGCGUAACGCGUAUGCAACCUACCUUUUACAGAGGGAUAGCCCAGAGAAAUUUGGAUUAAUACCUCAUAGUAUAUAACCUUCGCAUGUUGGUUAUAUUAAAGUUCCAACGGUAAAAGAUGGGCAUGCGUCCUAUUAGCUAGAUGGUAAGGUAACGGCUUACCAUGGCAACGAUAGGUAGGGGUCCUGAGAGGGAGAUCCCCCACACUGGUACUGAGACACGGACCAGACUCCUACGGGAGGCAGCAGUGAGGAAUAUUGGACAAUGGGCGCAAGCCUGAUCCAGCCAUGCCGCGUGCAGGAGGACGGUCCUAUGGAUUGUAAACUGCUUUUGUACGGGAAGAAACACUCCCUCGUGAGGGAGCUUGACGGUACCGUAAGAAUAAGGAUCGGCUAACUCCGUGCCAGCCGCCGCCGUAAUAC